rnacentral:rRNA from 1 species
UACGUAGGGUGCAAGCGUUAAUCGGAAUUACUGGGCGUAAAGCGUGCGCAGGCGGUAAUGUAAGACAGUUGUGAAAUCCCCGGGCUCAACCUGGGAACUGCAUCUGUGACUGCAUUGCUGGAGUACGGUGGAGGGGGAUGGAAUUCCGCGUGUAGCAGUGAAAUGCGUAGAUAUGCGGAGGAACACCGAUGGCGAAGGCAAUCCCCUGGACCUGUACUGACGCUCAUGCACGAAAGCGUGGGGAGCAAACAGG